rnacentral:rRNA from 1 species
UACGUAGGGUGCGAGCGUUAAUCGGAAUACUGGGCGUAAAGCGUGCGCAGGCGGUUCGUUGUGUCGGCGGUGAAAGCCCCGGGCUUAACCUGGGAAUGGCCGUUGAAACUGGCGAACUGGAGUGUGGCAGAGGGGGGUGGAAUUCCGGCGUGUAGCAGUGAAAUGCGUAGAGAUGCGGAGGAACACCGAUGGCGAAGGCAGCCCCCUGGGCUGAGAUUGACGCUCAGGCACGAAAGCGUGGGGAGCAAACAGG